rnacentral:rRNA from 1 species
CUGGGCUUGACAUGUUAGUCGUAGACUUGUGAAAGCUUGUCGUCACUUCGGGUGGACUAUCACAGGUGCUGCAUGGCUGUCGUCAGCUCGUGUCGUGAGAUGUUGGGUUAAGUCCCGUAACGAGCGCAACCCCUAUGAACUGUUGCCAGCGGAUAAUGCCGGGGACUCCGUUCAGACUGCCCAGAUUAACUGGGAGGAAGGAGGGGAUGACGUCAAGUCAGUAUGGCCCUUACGCCCAGGGCUGCACACGUGCUACAAUGUCCAGUACAAUAUGAACCAAUACCGCGAGGUGGAGGAAAUCCCAAAAACUGGGCUCAGUUCGGAUUGUAGUCUGCAACUCGACUACAUGAAGUUGGAAUCGCUAGUAAUGGUACAUCAGCUACGGUACCGUGAAUACGUUCCC